UACGGAGGGUGCAAGCGUUAAUCGGAAUAACUGGGCGUAAAGGGCACGCAGGCGGGCUUGUAAGUGAGAUGUGAAAUCCCCGGGCUCAACCCGGGAAUAGCAUUUGAGACUGGGAGUCUAGAGUACUUUAGAGGUGAGUAGAAUUCCUCGUGUAGCGGUGAAAUGCGUAGAGAUGUGGAGGAAUACCGAUGGCGAAGGCAGCUCCCUGGGAAUGUACUGACGCUGAUGUGCGAAAGCGUGGGGAGCAAACAGG
rnacentral:rRNA from 1 species